rnacentral:rRNA from 1 species
AUUGAACGCUGGCGGCAGGCCUAACACAUGCAAGUCGAACGAGCGGAGGACGGGAGGGUAAUGUAUGGGGACUUCACGAUAGAGGCGGAUAACUACUGGCAACGGUAGCUAAUACCGCAUACUAUCGGGUAACCCAUAUGGGAUUAGCUAGUUGGUGUGUUAAUGGCUCACCAGGGCGACGAUCCCUGGCUGGGCUGAGCGGAUGAUCAGCCACACUGGGACCGAGACACGGCCCAGACGCCUACGGAGGCAGCAGUGGGGAAUAUUGCACAAUGGGCGCAAGCCGGAUGCAGCCAUGCCGCGUAUAUGAAGAAGGCCCUAGGGUUGUAAAGUACUUUCAGUCGGGAGGCGGUACCAACAGAAUAAGCACCGGCUAACUUCGUGCCAGCAGCCGCGGUAAUAC